AUACGGAGGAUGCGAGCGUUAUCCGGAUUUAUUGGGUUUAAAGGGUGCGUAGGUGGUAGAUUAAGUCAGCGGUGAAAGUUUGUCGCUCAACGAUAAAAUUGCCGUUGAUACUGGUUUACUUGAGUAUAGUUGAAGUAGGCGGAAUGAGUGGUGUAGCGGUGAAAUGCUUAGAUAUCACGAAGAACUCCGAUCGCGAAGGCAGCUCACCGGGCCGGAACUGACACUGAUGCUCGAAAGUGCGGGUAUCAAACAGGAUUAGAUACCCUGGUAGUCCGCACAGUAAACGAUGAAUACUCGCUGUUUGCGAUACACUGUAAGCGGCCAAGCGAAAGCGUUAAGUAUUCCACCUGGGGAGUACGCCGGCAACGGUGAAACUCAAAUGAAUUGACGGGG
rnacentral:rRNA from 1 species